UAAGGUAGAUAAGGCAAUCGCUUGUUAUUUAUAACAAGAGGAAAGUCCGGACUCCUAACAAGCAUAGUGCCUUAGAAGAAAUAGAUUUCAACUAAGGGCAAUUGAAAAAUUGACGGAAAGUGCCACAGAAAAUAACCGCUGCUUUGCAGUAAGGGUGAAAAUGUGCGGUAAAAGCGCACAGCUUAUAUCAGUAAUGAUAUAUUCGGGUAAACCCCACUAGGAGCAAGACAAAGUAAGCAAGCAUUAAGCGCUUGUUAUUAGCUUGCGGGUAUGUCGCAUAGAUAAAUGGUUGCCACUAUAGUUUCUAUAGAACAGAAUCCGGCUUAUCAUCUGCCUUAUUAC
rnacentral:RNase_P_RNA from 1 species